GUGUGUGUGUGUGUGUGUGUGUGUGUGUGUGUGUGUGUGUGUGUGUGUGUGUGUGUGUGACAGGAUGUCCUGCGACGGGACAGGAACCAACACGCUGCCCCGCGCCUCCCGAGUCUCAAACAUCAGACCCUUAGAGUUUGGAACCCCCAGAGGAACCCCCAGAGGGACCCCCGGGGGUCCCCGGACCCCCCUUUAGGGCGUAGUGUUGACGGUCGGUGUUUCCAGCAUCAGAGCGCCGGCGUCUGACUCAAACAUCAAAGAGAAGUAGAAAUGAAUGUUUGCAGUUUCCUCUUCCUAAAUCCUCAAGCCUGACUCUGAGGAGGAGCGUCUGUGGCACUCGCUGUGCCGUAGUGUCGACCCGUACAACCCCAGAAACUGUUCUUUAUUCUAAAAAUGAUAUCUUUGUUUUACAUAUGUUUGUACUUUUGUGUUCUUGUUUCAUGCUACUGUAUACAACACUACUACUCUUACAAAACAUAAU